GUGAGGAAUUUUCCGCAAUGGGCGAAAGCCUGACGGAGCAAUGCCGCGUGAAGGAUGAAGGCCUAUGGGUUGUAAACUUCUUUUCUCAGAAAAGAAUUAUGACGGUAUCUGAGGAAUAAGCAUCGGCUAACUCUGUGCCAGCAGCCGCGGUAAGACAGAGGAUGCAAGCGUUAUCCGGAAUGAUUGGGCGUAAAGCGUCUGUAGGUUGUUUAAAAAGUAUUCUAACAAAGAUUAGGGCUUAACCCUAGAUAGGCAGAAUAAACUUUUAAGGUAGAGUUUGGUAGAGGCAGAGGGAAUGCCCGGUGGAGCAGUGAAAUGCGUAGAUAUCGGGAGGAACACCAAAGGCGAAGGCACUCUGCUGGGACAAUACUAACACUGAGAGACGAAAGCGAGGGGAGCAAAUGGGAUUAGAAACCCGAGUAGUCC
rnacentral:rRNA from 1 species